rnacentral:rRNA from 1 species
AACGAACGCUGGCGGCAUGCCUAACACAUGCAAGUCGAACGCCUGUAGCAAUACAGGAGUGGCAGACGGGUGCAUAACACGUGGGAACCUACCCUUGGGUUCGGAAUAACCGCGGGAAACUGCGGCUAAUACCGGAUACGUCCUCUGGGAGAAAGAUUCAUCGCCCUUGGAGGGGCCCGCGUCGGAUUAGCUAGUUGGUGAGGUAACGGCUCACCAAGGCGACGAUCCGUAGCUGAUCUGAGAGGAUGAUCAGCCACACUGGAACUGAGACACGGUCCAGACUCCUACGGGAGGCAGCAGUGGGGAAUAUUGGACAAUGGGCGCAAGCCUGAUCCAGCAAUGCCGCGUGGGUGAUGAAGGC